GAUCUUCCAAGAUCAAUGACUGUGAAACUUGUAUGUACUCUUAGAUAUGUACUUUCGUGGUGUCGGGUUCUGCCCGAUGCCACACAACCACAAUACCCUUAAAUACGAAAAAAACCUCAACCUUAAGAAAAGAAGGUGCGGCUGACUGCACUUGUUGCAAUCGGCCCCUUCGCAUAUGACGCAAAUGCCAUACGACUUUCAGCAACGGAUGUCUUGGCUCCCACAACGAUGAAGAACGCAGCGAAAUGCGAUACGUAGUGUGAUCUGCAUGUUUUCGUGAAUCAUCAAAUCUUUGAACGCACAUUGCACUUCCUGUAACUACAGGGAGUAUGCUUAUUUGAGUGUCUGCAAACCCCACUCUUCUCAAUCAUAUUGGUUGACGAAGGACUAUGCGGUUGGACGGCUACGACGGUUUAUCGUUGCAGGCGUCCUUCCGUCAAAUUCAGGGCUUUGCGAGAUAAUACUCCAAACGCGACGUACAAGCCCACAUGGUACUAGAGUGCUUCGGCGCCC
rnacentral:rRNA from 1 species